CAGCAGCCACGGUAAUACGAAGGGUGCAAGCGUUAAUCGGAAUUACUGGGCGUAAAGCGUGCGUAGGCGGUGAGUUAAGUCUGCUGUGAAAUCCCCGGGCUCAACCUGGGAAUGGCAGUGGAUACUGGCUCGCUAGAGUGUGUCAGAGGAUGGUGGAAUUCCCGGUGUAGCGGUGAAAUGCGUAGAGAUCGGGAGGAACAUCAGUGGCGAAGGCGGCCAUCUGGGACAACACUGACGCUGAGGUACGAAAGCGUGGGGAGCAAACAGGAUUAGAUACCCGCGUAGUCCCUGUCUCUUAUAC
rnacentral:rRNA from 1 species